UACGUAGGGUGCAAGCGUUGUCCGGAAUUAUUGGGCGUAAAGAGCUCGUAGGCGGUCUGUUGCGUCGGCUGUGAAAACUCGGGGCUCAACCCCGAGCCUGCAGUCGAUACGAGCAGGCUAGAGUUCGGUAGGGGAGACUGGAAUUCCUGGUGUAGCGGUGAAAUGCGCAGAUAUCAGGAGGAACACCGGUGGCGAAGGCGGGUCUCUGGGCCGAUACUGACGCUGAGGAGCGAAAGCGUGGGGAGCGAACAGG
rnacentral:rRNA from 1 species